rnacentral:rRNA from 1 species
UAAAGAUUCAUCGCUGAUAGAUAGGCAUGCGUUCCAUUAGGCAGUUGGCGGGGUAACGGCCCACCAAACCGACGAUGGAUAGGGGUUCUGAGAGGAAGGUCCCCCACAUUGGUACUGAGACACGGACCAAACUCCUACGGGAGGCAGCAGUGAGGAAUAUUGGUCAAUGGGCGUAAGCCUGAACCAGCCAAGUCGCGUGAGGGAUGAAGGUUCUACGGAUCGUAAACCUCUUUUAUAAGGGAAUAAAGUGCGGGACGUGUCCCGUUUUGUAUGUACCUUAUGAAUAAGGAUCGGCUAACUCCGUGCCAGCAGCCGCGGUAAUACGGAGGAUCCGAGCGUUAUCCGGAUUUAUUGGGUUUAAAGGGUGCGUAGGCGGCCUUUUAAGUCAGCGGUGAAAGUCUGUGGCUCAACCAUAGAAUUGCCGUUGAAACUGGGAGGCUUGAGUAUGUUUGAGGCAGGCGGAAUGCGUGGUGUAGCGGUGAAAUGCUUAGAUAUCACGCAGAACCCCGAUUGCGAAGGCAGCCUGCCAAGCCAUGACUGACGCUGAUGCACGAAAGCGUGGGGAUCAAACAGGAUUAGAUACCCUGGUAGUCCACGCAGUAAACGAUGAUCACUAGCUGUUUGCGAUACACAGUAA